rnacentral:rRNA from 1 species
CCUACGGGGGGCAGCAGUGGGGAAUAUUGCACAAUGGGGGAAACCCUGAUGCAGCGACGCCGCGUGAGUGAAGAAGUAUUUCGGUAUGUAAAGCUCUAUCAGCAGGGAAGAAAAUGACGGUAACUGAUUAAGAAGCCCCGGCUAACUACGAGCCAGCAGCCGCGGUAAGACGUAGGGAGCAAGCGUUAGCCGGAUUUACUGGGUGUAAAGGGAGCGUAGACGGCAGCGCAAGUCUGAAGUGAAAUGCAGGGGCUUAACCCCGGAACUGCUUUGGAAACUGUGCAGCUAGAGUGCAGGAGAGGUAAGUGGAAUUCCGAGUGUAGCGGUGAAAUGCGUAGAUAUUAGGAGGAACACCAGUGGCGAAGGCGGCUUACUGGACUGUAACUGACGUUGAGGCUCGAAAGCGUGGGGAGCAAACAGGAUUAGAUACCCCAGUAGUC